rnacentral:rRNA from 1 species
GACAGAGGGUGCAAACGUUGUUCGGAAUUACUGGGCGUAAAGCGCGUGUAGGCUGCUUCGCAAGUCGGGUGUGAAAGCCCUGGGCUCAACCUAGGAAGUGCACUCGAAACUGCGAAGCUGGAGUCCUGGAGAGGAAGGCGGUAUUCUCGGUGUAGAGGUGAAAUUCGUAGAUAUCGAGAGGAACACCGGUGGCGAAGGCGGCCUUCUGGACAGUGACUGACGCUGAGACGCGAAAGCGUGGGGAGCAAACAGG